rnacentral:miRNA from 1 species
CUACAUAGGUUGAUCUCACCG